GGCAAGGUGGCCGAGUGGUCUAAGGCGUCCGACUCAAGUUCGAAUGUGGUUUACACGCGUGGGUUCGAAUCCCACCCUUGUCA
rnacentral:tRNA from 13 species